AGAGAUCCUUUAAUAUUUUAUUUGAAUUACUGCAGUUCCAGCAAAGACAAAGCUCCUUUUAAAGGCAACAAGACAUCACUUCAGACUCUCACGGAAGUCAGAAUCACAUGAUGAACAUAGCAAGAAUCUCUCUAAGCACUCUCACAGAUGCCGACUGAAGAAUCAAGGAUGUCCACAUAUACUCAAGCUAAUCAUUAACUACCCCAAAAGAAAGCAUUUUCUGUUUUUUAAUAACAUCUGUUGCUAGUUUAUCAUUUGAUUCAAGCUUGGAUCUUUAAUUAAGAACAGUGUUUGAUAGCAGAAGCCUUCGCUGCCAUUAACAUACUUCUAGCAUGAGAAGCUGAGCAGGGGAUUAGCAUACACUGUAUUCAGCUGGCGGCUAUUCAAGCUAGAGCAAGUCAUUGUGGGAGCAAAACAUUGGAUCAGUCAGCAGGACAACUGGAUUAUUAAAAACAAAAAUCACAUCAUCAGAAGGGAAAGCAGAAAAUCACCAGGGCCCAAUUUGCUAUAAAAGGGAUGUGACUAUACGAAGUGCAAAGCAGCAAGGAACCAGAUCCUGAGGGCUUGUCAUCAACAUCAAGUUAAAAAACAGACCAGAUGAAAUGGGGAAAGAGGCAACCACAUACCUGGAUCUUUAUUUCUGGGUGUGAGCCAACCUGCUGGCAGAAGACUUCAAAGGAAUCAGCCACUCCUUCCUCUACCCAUAGCAGAGUCACUGACGUCUGUGUCUUGUUGACAGCAAACAAUGAUUUUGGAGGAGCUGGUUCUGGCAAUGACCAUCCAGUGCAGCAUCCUGGAAUGAGACAGGUAGAACAGGGAACGCGGCCGAGGACUGGAGCAUCAUGCCGUAAUUCUAGAAAAUGUUUGGUCCAGCUUGGCAGCAGCAGAGCCUGGAGAGGUACUUCCGGCUCUGAAGAGGGGCAGCUGGGGACAGACGCCAUAUUUUGGGCAGAGGAAACACCAAAGAACUCUCCCACUUAUGCCAGUCUGCAAUGAACUGCAGGUGAAGACUGCAAGACAGCAGGCAUGGGUGGUCAGAGUACCAGCCAACUCAGGUACUGGUGGGCAGGAUAUCAGGGUGACCUGUCCGACUAACAAGUAGCACUCAGGCUGAAGAGGAGCCAGAUCAGAGGACACACAGGAGCCUAAGUCCAUGAUGAGCUGGGGGGCAGGAGGCUGCCCAGUGUGGAUGCCACCAGUAAUUGAUUUUUGUAGAGAGACUGGUAGUCAAAUUGAUAGGGGGAAUCAACCCCAAACAUAUUGAUGGACUUUGCAGUCAAUGCUGGUUUAUGGACAGUCAUAUGAAUUGAUGAAAGUGUUCAUUUUUUAUACUACUGAUUUAUUCUUGACUUAAUCUUCGAUUUCAGUUCUCUGCAGGACUGUUAAAGAAGGGAAUUGAUUGGGAGGAGAGGGGAAAUUGACCCUGAAGACAAUACAUGCCUGUCAAAUUAAUUCUGCUUUGUUCCAGGACUUUUGAAAAAAAAUUUUUUUGAAUUCAUCUGGGCAUCCUGUCAGUUGACUCAUGAUAGGGGAGGAACCUUUGUUGAACUACUAAUCAAAAACUGAAUUGUCGCCACUGAGGGGCUUCAUUGAGGCCCAAUAGUAGGGCCUGAUGUAGAUUCCUGGUGGCCCAGAUAGGUCUGUCAUACACAGUUUGAGGGGGUUGCACCCAAGAUAAAAACGUUCAACAUCAUCAAGGAAGUUGUAAGAGUGGGGUGUAGGGGAGGAAGAGCCCCACAAAGAAAUUUCUCUGACAGGUCCUGAUGCAUCGCCCAGAGGAACCAGCAGAAGAAGUAAGAUCAAAGUCAUGGCAGGUGAGAGAAUAACAUCAGAGUGCAGAGCUGGGGGACAGUGCCGCCCUUUCCAUAUCCUGACAUCAUUCACCAGGAAGACACCUAGGCCUUACAGCACCUACCCCCAAUAAUCAGGCUUAAAUUAUACCUCAGCCCAUAUCUUGAGUAAGUUGCCUUUCUCAUCAUUUUCACUGUAACCCCAUGUGACACUGUGGCUAUUAAAGUCACCUAUAAUCACACAUGCUUAUUUCUGGUCUAGGUUUCCUGGCCUCACAAAGGCAAAACACUCCCCUGGAAGGUAAUAAAACAGAUAUUAUUGAGAAGUUGUCCAUAUUGAUGGUCAAGAUUUCAACAUCAUAUUGUUUUUUCAUUGAUAUUGUGUUGAUGAUGAGCUCUGGUUUUAUGAAGAUAGCGCUGCUGUUUUUCUUAUGCUGCCUUUCAAUGGCUAAUCUCAUCCCAGGGAUCAAUGGCCUAUUACUGUUUGGCCCUCUGUACUUCCUGGAGACAGAGCACGUGACAAUUGUAAUUGGUGCACAUCCUGAAAAGAAUGUCCUAUUUGACUCCUAAGAGUCCCUCAAUGUUUACAGAAAUGACUUCCAGAGUCGGCCCUCAAAAAGAUUCAUUGUUGUACUAUAGCAGGUCAACCAGUUGCAAGUUAGAAGUUUGUAUUAUAUACAUCUGAGAUUGUUAAUGACAUAACUUAAGAUGCAGUAUAACAAAAAGUACAUUUUAAAAAUACAAUGUUUACAAGAAUAUUAUAAUGUGACCUGAAAUUUGCUGUUUUAAUUCCAUGUGAAUAGGGGCAGAGAUGUGGAUAACAAAGAUUUAAAACAUGAACACUCAUAAUUUCUUUUGAUUAAUGACACAUAACAUAACAAUGUGCAAUUGAGUGGAAACAUGGUUGAUUGGACUAUGAUUGCCUGGCACUCUACUGCACUUUUCAAAGGCUUAUGUUAUGUAUAUACACAGGUACUUGGAGUUCAGCCACUUAGUGAAGUGUACCUCUGCCAAGCACCUCAUAUGAGAUUGAUCCAAGGACCCCACAAAAGAUUUUCAAACUUGGCCACAGCAUUUGGGUGUCCAACUGGAAAAUACUGGUUCAAUUAUUUUAAUAGUUAAGGCUAAAAAUUAUUGUUAUGAUCAUCUUGCUUGGAAUCAUGCUUCAUACAGGCCUUAGAAUUUACCAAGCAAUUCAUGCAACACAUCCAUAACUUGCAGUUUCAGCUACUACAUGUCUUUUAAAAACCACUCAAUCUUGGUUUAAAAGGCCUUGAGCAACAGCGAUUCUACCACAUUCUCUCAUACAGUAUUCUAAUGGCUAAUUAGAAUAAAUUUUAAAACUUUAUCUAAAAUCACACAAAUGAGUCCAAUCAGUGACAGAGCUAGAAUUAGAACUCAGAUUUCCAGACUCUUGGCCUAUGCUAGAGCUACUCAAUGCUACUUUCUCAUGCCAUACUUAUCCAAGUCAAUAGCAGUUAUUUGCAUUUCAAAAGAUGUUUAAAAACCUUGUCACAUCAUUACUACAUCAGCUUCCUUAUAAAUGUCAUUUAGGUGUCAACUUCCUAUAAUGGUGGGAGAUAAUACUCGAAUGCCAACAGAUUUCUGUGUCCAAUAAUUCUGUUAUGUACUUAUUGAAAAGUUUAUGCUUUUACAUUGUAUAAAACUGUUAUUCUUGGACAGGAGGAUAGUGAAAUAGCAAAAGCCAGAAUAUGACAUAUUUGUAAGCUGUUACUGUAAUUUAUUUUAUGCAUGUCACGAUUUAUCGUGUCUCCUGUAACGUUGCCUGUAGUUUCUCAGCAGUGUUCACAACUCUCCAAUUAUGGCAGAACUAAAGGGAAUCUUAAUCAACUUGCAUGUUUUGGCUACAUGUGGGAGAAAAGGGAUCUUGAUUUUUCCUCCCUCCCAUUGUAACAGAGGGUUAUGCUUAGGAAGAGUUGGAAAACCACUGCUUUAGGAUCAUACUUUACAUUCUGAAAUCCUAAAAUAAAUUUACAUCAUUAUA